rfam:Schistosoma curassoni strain Dakar, Senegal genome assembly, scaffold: SCTD_scaffold0001000
AUCUGACGAGUCCCAAACAGGACGAAAUGCGCGUCCUGGAU